UACGUAGGGACCAAGCGUUGUUCGGAUUUACUGGGCGUAAAGGGCGCGUAGGCGGCGUGACAAGUCACUUGUGAAAUCUCUGAGCUUAACUCAGAACGGCCAAGUGAAACUGUUGUGCUAGAGUGCAGAAGGGGCAAUCGGAAUUCUUGGUGUAGCGGUGAAAUGCGUAGAUAUCAAGAGGAACACCUGAGGUGAAGACGGGUUGCUGGGCUGACACUGACGCUGAGGCGCGAAGGCGUGGGGAGCGAACGGG
rnacentral:rRNA from 1 species